rnacentral:rRNA from 1 species
UAGAGCGGCGGACGGGUGAGUAACACGUGGACAAUCUGCCCCCCGGCCCGGGAUAGCCCAGGGAAACCUGGAUUAAUACCGGAUGAGACGGGACCCGCGAAGGCGGGACCCGGGAAAGGCGCUGCAGCGCCGGCGGGGGAUGAGUCUGCGUCCCAUUAGCUAGACGGCGGGGUAACGGCCCACCGUGGCGACGAUGGGUAGCCGGCCUGAGAGGGUGGACGGCCACAUUGGAACUGAGACACGGUCCAGACUCCUACGGGAGGCAGCAGCUAAGAAUCUUCCGCAAGUGGGACGAAAGCCUGACGGAGCGAACCGCCGCGUGAACGAAGAAGGCCGUGAGGUUAGUAAAGUUUCGUUUCGGGAGGGGGGAAACAAACCCGUGGCAGGGGAAUGGCCGCGGGAUGACGUGAAUCCCGGAAUAAGCCCCGGCUAACUACGUGCCAGCAGCCGC